rfam:Tupaia chinensis contig89442, whole genome shotgun sequence.
GUGCUCACUUCGGCAGGACAUGUACUAAAACUGGAACAAUACAGAGAAAAUUAGCAUGGCCCCUGCACAAGAAUGACAUGCAAAUUUGUGAAGCAUUUCAUAUUUAA